rnacentral:other from 1 species
UGUCUUCUGCCAGGCAGGUGUUUCGGACAGUACAGUUGGCCCCCGUGUCUCAUCUUUGGGACCCAUCCCUCAUCGUGUUGUGCAUGCCUCUCUGCCGAGGACGCCGGUAGCGGUGAACAUGGUACCCACCUUCUUCGGAAGGGGGUCCAUCGGCUGUCCACACGGCUCGAGCGGAUACAC